rnacentral:lncRNA from 1 species
UUCAUCAUGCAUUACCCUAUUUUCAGAAGUUUAUCCUGUUAUCUACUUAGUAGAGUAUUAUGCCGUGUAAAUGUGCUUCUUAGCAAUUGCUUGCAACAUUUAAGUCUUUAGAUGCAUUCUAUGCUUGAAGAAUUGCUGUUUCUGCUCUAACACCGUGCUAAUUCUCCGCAGAAAUUGUCCUUGUGGUGUACAGAUAGGCCCAUUCAUUAUGCCCCUUGGAAGUAAAGGAUCAGGAUGGGAGCAGUGUUGCAGCUCCAGUACUUAUCGGUCAUGGUUGUGCCCACAGAGCCUGCUUGGUGCAUCUGCUUCUCCUUGGGGGCAAGACAUUACCCCAGUGCCAUUCUCUGAUGUGUAAGUCUUCCCCCAUCUUUCCCUAGCUGAUGAGUAAUGGCCUUAAGUUGUGCCAGGGGAGUUUCAAGUUGAAUAUUAAGAAACAUUUCUUCUCAGAAGGAGCGGUGAGGGACUGGCACAGCUGUCCCCGGAGGUGGUGGGGUCACUGAUCAUGGGGAUGUUCUAUAGCCAUGGAGAUGUGGCACUGAGGGACAUGGGUUCAUUGCUUUCAGCAAGCUCUGUUCUUGCCUUUCAGUGGGACCAUUACCACAGUGCAACCUGUCCUUGCUUUGAGCUGCUCUGCCCCACUGAGCGAUCUGGUUCAGCUCAGAGCUUGGGCUUCUCCACUUUUAUUUCCCUGCUCUGUCUCCUUUCCUAUCUCUGGGAGCUUUGAAUUUCUACCCCUGCCUCACAGCUUGGGUAAUUCCCUGCAAAGGGAUUACAUUUUCAGCGUGUUCACAGCUGUAUGUUUGCUCGGAGCAAGUGCCUCCUGUGACUGCCCAAUUGUGGAGUUUCACUCGAGUGGAACAAGUAAUAAGAGAAAUAUGCAGCUCUCCCUGCCUUCAUUGAGCUUCUUAGGUGGCCAGGAGCAAACAGCGUGCCUCCCUCCUGCAAAGCACUUAACUGGGACCUGGGGCUGUGGGAUUGGAGCUAGGAAAAAGCCCAGUGCUGCUUGGGAUGAGGAGAGGAGGAAGGAAAAGCCCUCAUGAGGCUGCUACCCUGAUGUGUAGCCCCAGCACGCAGCAGCAGAGGUGCCCAGGUCAGCUCCACCCCUCCAACAGGAACAAAAUCCCCCCUGGAUGACAGCAGCACCUUCAGCAGCUCUGUUUGCUUCAAAGGAAAAUACAAAUAACACAAUUGAGACAGCGGUGUUGUUCCUUUGAAUUGCUGUUUGAUGCCCUUGGGCUCCACCAGGCUGGCUGGGGUGGGAGGGGAGGGAGGGCAGCCUGUGCAAGCUGCAUCCCAACGAUAGUGUUUUAAUUUCUUCCUCCACUGUGCCUGGUUUACACUUUAACGUGGUUUAAUUUUGAAGUCUCCUCUUUUUUUUUUCCUUUUUUUUUUUUUGCAAGGUGAAUGUCGAGCAGUAAUGUAAUGAAAAGUUGACAGGCACAGAUCUUUUUUAAUAACUCUUAUGUUGUGUAGCUUAAAUUGGUUUAA